rnacentral:hammerhead_ribozyme from 1 species
AUCCAGCUGACAAGUCCCAAACAGGACGGAACGGGUGUCCUGGAU